CGCCUUAUACUCCUACGGGAGGCAGCAGUGGGGAAUUUUGGACAAUGGGGGCAACCCUGAUCCAGCAAUGCCGCGUGAGUGAAGAAGGCCUUCGGGUUGUAAAGCUCUUUUGUCAGGGAAGAAACGGUAGUAGCUAAUAUCUAUUACUAAUGACGGUACCUGAAGAUAAGCACCGGCUAACUACGUGCCAGCAGCCGCGGUAAUACGUAGGUUGCAAGCGUUAAUCGGAAUUACUGGGCGUAAAGCGUGCGCAGGCGGUUGUGUAAGUCAGGUGUGAAAUCCCCGGGCUCAACCUGGGAAGUGCAUUUGAGACUGCACGUCUAGAGUGUGUCAGAGGGGGGUAGAAUUACACGUGUAGCAGUGAAAUGCGUAGAUAUGUGGAGGAAUACCGAUGGCGAAGGCAGCCCCCUGGGAUAACACUGACGCUCAUGCACGAAAGCGUGGGGAGCAAACAGGAUUAGAAACCCGAGUAGUCCACGUACCA
rnacentral:rRNA from 1 species